rnacentral:lncRNA from 10 species
GAUCGAAAAACACAAAACAAGUGAACGUCAUCGUCGUGGUGCGGGGAGUGCUUGCUCUGUCUUCAGGCAUCUGGAAGGUGAGCACAAAGGCAGAAUGACCUCUGCUGGGGCGUCAGCGGCAGGGGGAUGCCCCCGUUGUUGUACAUGGUGCAGUAGCGGAUCACCUCUUCCAAGGCCCCUUUCAUGAAGUAAAUGUCUUCCUGAUCCUUAGAAAAGACAAAGGGAAGAAAUCCACUAUCACUGGAAGCCUUGGUUCAUACUGACCAUCACCCCACUCUGCACAAGGUUACAAAGACACACACGGGGAUCUUUGCAGCGGAGUUAUUUAUCAUAGGCUGGUGCUGUUCACAGGUGCUGGACAGGUUCGCGAAGUUCUAGAAUCCAUCCAUGGAACGUUUUGCAGUCCAGAGAAAGAACAAGGCCAAUCUUCAACCUGUACUACCCUUGUUCUUUUUUCAGUUCCCUUGUUAUGGUCACUCAGAGCGUCUUGUAUGUUUCAUGCACGGGAGGUAUCAUCCCAGCUGGGACUGUGCCUUUGGGGGUGUGAUUAACUGGGAAUAUUUCCAUUAGACUGUUGCCUCCCUAGGGCAGCACCAAGUCUAUUUUGUACCCACCCCCAGCACUUGGCUUGUAAUAGUGAAGCCACAUGAGUAGCUGAUCAUUUUUCCUGUGUUUUUCUUAAGCUCUGUCAUGACAAACAUGUAGACUAUGAACUCCACGGGGGGAGGCCCUGGGUCAGUGAGAGUCACACUGUACCCCUAGCCUCAAUACCGGACAUACCUGGCUCACGUGGGUGCACAGUGUGAAUGUAACACUGUUAUAAGAUAAUAUAAUAUUAAUUAUAUAUGUUAUUAAUAUGUAAUUAACAUAUUAAUGUUAUUAAUAAAUAUAAUAUUAAUUACAGAUGUUAAUACAUUAAUU